GGGUAGGUAGCUCAGCGGUUAGAGUGUUGGUCUGUGAAACCGAAGACACGGGUUCGAAUCCCGCCCUACCCACCA
rnacentral:tRNA from 1 species